rnacentral:misc_RNA from 1 species
GCGCGAUCGCGGCAGUUUUUCGGGUGGUUUGUUGCCAUUUUUACCUGUCUGCUGCCGUGAUCGCGCUGAACGCGUUUU